GACGAACGCUGGCGGCGUGCCUAAUACAUGCAAGUAGAACGCACAGUUUAUACCGUAGCUUGCUACACCAUAGACUGUGAGUUGCGAACGGGUGAGUAACGCGUAGGUAACCUGCCUGGUAGCGGGGGAUAACUAUUGGAAACGAUAGCUAAUACCGCAUAAUAUUGAUUAUUGCAUGAUAAUUGAUUGAAAGAUGCUAUUGCAUCACUACCAGAUGGACCUGCUUUGUAUUGGCUAGUAGGUGAGGUAACGGCUCACCUAGGCGACGAUACAUAGCCGACCUGAGAGGGUGAUCGGCCACACUGGGACUGAGACACGGCCCAGACUCCUACGGGAGGCAGCAGUAGGGAAUCUUCGGCAAUGGACGAAAGUCUGACCGAGCAACGCCGCGUGAGUGAAGAAGGUUUUCGGAUCGUAAAGCUCUGUUGUAAGAGAGGAACGGGUGUGAGAGUGGAAAGUUCACACUGUGACGGUAUCUUACCAGAAAGGGACGGCUAACUACGUG
rnacentral:rRNA from 1 species